GAUGAACGCUAGCGGCAGGCCUAAUACAUGCAAGUCGAACGGUAAGUUGAAUAGCAAUAUUUGACCUAGAGUGACGUACGGGUGCGUAACACGUAUGCAACCUACCCUUUACAGGCGGAUAGCUCGGGGAAACUCGAAUUAACCCGUCAUGAGAUCAUAGAGUGGCAUCACAUAGUGAUUAAAUUACAAGAGGUAAAGGAUGGGCAUGCGUCUGAUUAGUUAGUUGGCGGGGUAACGGCCCACCAAGACGAUGAUCAGUAGGGGAACUGAGAGGUUGAUCCCCCACACUGGCACUGAGAUACGGGCCAGACUCCUACGGGUGGCAG
rnacentral:rRNA from 1 species